GUAAAACCCUAUCACCUCUGAAACCAUUUCAGAGGCCUCUUAGCACCCAGUGACACAUCCUUUGCCACUGCAUUCUGCAUUCACUUACCGCACAUCCACACGAUGGUCACAUGAAGUAAGUGCUGUCUGCCCUACUACACACGGAUGUCAAGGACAAGACUGUAUCGUGGCACAUUUUAGCACUGCUUCAACAUUUAGCAAAGCUGACUUGGACAUACUAGCCACUCAAAAUGCCCCCAGAAUUAUUUAAUUACUCACAGACAUCCCCUAUCCAAGACUGUAAAACCAUGAUUAUACGGUCUUAAAAUAAUUUGCAAUUAUUUUAACAUUAUGAUAAUACCUUUGCCCUUGGUGGCAAGGGAGAAGACGGGAAAAAGCACAUGUAUGAUGAAAACAGACUUUUAAAGCAUAUGACCUUCCCAACUUGGGAGGCUGACCACUGGUCUUGUUAUGGCUCUAUAUAAUGCAAUGAGGCAGUUUUAGUAAACCUUUAAUG
rnacentral:lncRNA from 1 species